ACAAAAUUACCUAACAUAACAUACUGAAAGUUGCUUUUUUGUGUUUUAGAUUUCAGCCUUAUUGGCUCUGAUACUUUUUUGGAUUUUCCAUAUACUGGGGUCAGCAAACUUAGACUUCAUUGCAGGGUUAGGACAGUGAUAGUUGCAGUUUUGUUGAGGUUUUUAUCUAUUCAUGUAUAAUCAAGUGGCCUUAGCUGACAAAAAUGGCAUGUUAAAGCAGAACAGUUAAUGUUCUCUGUUACCAUGUUUCUUAUGUUCCACUAGCGUUAGGAAUGAAUGCUUGCUUGUACACGUUUCCAAUGAAUUUGAUGGAAAGCUAGAGUCCUUUAAAGAGAUGUGUACUAGUACAUAGGAAAAUGGGGCUUCAUCUGUGUUCUUUGCUUUAUUUUAAAAGCAGUGAGGAUAGUUUUGUUACUGCUCACUUCAGAAGGCAGCGUUUGGCUGUGUGACUUCAGACAAGAUGAAGAACAAAAUAGCGUGUGGAAGACACUGUUCUCUAGGAAACAGUGAAAAAGGCAGAUCAGUGAGGAAAAGUGUCACGCUCCUGGUAUGUGUGGUUAGACUUAGCUGCCUGAAAGAGUGCAUUUCCCUCUGGCCUCCCAUGAAUGUCCAACUGGGAUUUAGGGCGUGUGCAUGUUGGAGAUGGAAUUUCAAAGGGGCUGGAUGGAGACUGUAGAACUCACUGCUACAUGAGGAUCCCUUUAGUUCGAUUUAAAUCCAUCAAGAAGCAACUUCAUGAAAGGGGAGAUCUGGAGGUAUUUUGGAGUAAUCACCAACCUGACAUUUUUGCACGGAGAUACCUGCAUUGCUUCCCUUCAAAUAUCUUUUUACCAGCUACUUCAGAAAGGCUGUAUGAUUACAUGGAUGCCCAGUACUAUGGGGUGGUAAUGGUUGGGACCCCUCCUCAGAAAUUCACAGUGGUAUUCGACACUGGAUCGUCCAAUUUUUGGGUCCCUUCAGCCUACUGCAUCAGUGAAGCCUGCAGCGUUCAUGAAAGAUUCAAAUCCUUUCUAUCAAACUCCUAUCAGCAUGGAGGUCAAGCCUUUUCUCUACAGUAUGGUACUGGGCAGCUUCUAGGCAUUGCUGGCAAAGACACAGUACAAAUUAGCAAUAUUUCUAUAGAGGCACAGGAUUUUGGAGAGUCUGUCUUUGAACCAGGCAUGACCUUUGCCCUUGCACACUUUGAUGGAGUGCUGGGUUUAGGAUAUCCAUCUUUGGCAGUCGGCAACCCUCUUCCAGUGUUUGACAGUAUGAUGAACCAACGCUUAGUAGAGGAGCCAGUGUUUUCUUUCCACUUGAACAGAGGAAACGACAUUGAAAAUGGUGGAGAAUUGAUCUUAGGGGGCAUAGAUCAUUCCCGCUACAAAGGUUCAAUUCAUUGGGUCCCAGUCACUGAGAAAAGCUACUGGCAAAUUCACGUUAACAACGUGAAAAUCCAGGGACGGAUUGUGUUUUGUGCUCACGGUUGUGAAGCCAUUGUUGAUUCAGGAACUUCUCUUAUUACUGGCCCCUCUUCCCAAAUAAGACGCCUUCAGGAGUCCAUCGGGGCAAGUCCAACGCAAACUGGAGAGUUCAUUGUAGACUGCAGAAGACUCUCAAGCUUGCCACAUAUAAGCUUCACUAUUGGACACAAAGAAUACAAGUUAACAGCGGAACAGUAUAUAAUAAAGAUCAUAGUUAUGAACAUCAACAUACUAAGAACCAUGCUGAGUAGCUACCAGAGGACACUCUUCAGGCAAAGCAGUUUGAAUCUUCGCAAUGGAAAAGGGAACUGAAGAACAUGAAGUGGAGCAGGGGAAUGAAGAAGUAUCUUUGAAAUGAGCAAUAUGUGGUAACGAUGGAGAGAAAUCUUAUAGUUAUGGCACUGACCUGGAACAUAGGAGAUUUAGACUCACUUCUAGUCACUGCCACAGACAUGGUGUAUGACUUUAGGCAAGUCAUAUUUUUUCUGUUUCUUCAUUCCCCAUUUCUAAAAGGGAGAUACAAAAAUACUCCUUUUCUCCCAUAUUUUGUUUUGUCUAUUUAGGCCCAAAUUCUGAGAUUUACAACUUGUGGCUGAAUUAUUGGGCUCACACAAAGCCACCGGGGUCCUGAAUGGCUGUGGAAGACUGCAGGGGCAUUAGAAAUUGCUGGGUCCUUCUGACCUUUACGCACAAGGAAGUGCCAACCUGCAUGACUAAAAGUCAAAGAAAACUAAAAAGCUUGAUUCCUGCCAGCUGUCCAUGUCUAUGGCUCUUACAGGCAUCAGCAGGGAUUCCACAUGUAGCUACCUGCCAAUUACUUAUUAAGGAGUCCUAAGAGAUGGAUGAAGAAUUAUGCUCAGAAAUCCCACAGCUACAGAGACAACAGACUGAACCAUGUUCCCUAGACCUGCAGAAGGAAGGCAACCUUUGCAUGGCAGCCUGCCCUACUUACUUCUGAGCCAGGGUGCUAUUAUCUUUCAUACAGCCUUCCCUGUGUCCUGUGAAACUUUCUGUUUGACUAUUACAAGAGGAUUUUGGGGAAGAUGGAGUUGGAGCUAGGGGAGUUUUUCUAGCAACUCAGCUCUGCAGGAAUGAUGCUGUUUAAAGCUGAAGUGGAAGCAGCUGGCUGAAGAGGUGGUGCGAAGGCCAGGGACCUUUGUGCAAGGCCUAGGCUGCAGGUCAGUCUCUGCAUUAGGAAAAAUGGCUUCUCCAGGUCUUUUCCAUCCUCUUCUCCCUGCUGCGUUAAUGGCCUGGGAAAAAUCAUCCUAGCUCCUGGCUCUGAUUUCUGUAGGAAAUAAACUGCCCCACUGUCACAUGCGAUCUAAUCCCAAAUUUCAGUCUGAGGAAAUAAUCGUUUUCUGAACAGCCUAAUGCUAACAGAACUGUGUUUUUAAAAUGUAUUUAGUAUUGUGUUCAAUGAAACCUCAGCAUCCCUGCAUUGUUCUGCUGCCUGUGAGCCAGAAGGUGAGCUUAGUGAGAAAGUGCCUGUAAGCUAAAGUCUCUUAGAAAACCCUAGACAUGAGGGAAAUGAUUGGCUCCUUGGUUAUGUCCAUUUCUUUUGUGCCCGAGUUCUCUCUCACCUGUGUUAUUGUGAGCUCCUUGAUUUUCAUCCAGUCUGUGCAAAGCACAGCAGCUAAAAUAAUCUUUUGGACAAUCUAAAAAAACUGACUUUGAUCUCAUACUAUUAGUUGUUAUUUUAUUGUAUUUUAUAGCAGUGCUUAUAGGUCACAGGGCCCUAUUAUGCUAGGUGGUGUGUUAGUACAUAGGCUGCAAUCUUAUACUUAUUCACCUGCUUAACCUUGCUCCUAAAGCAGCCUUGUUAAAGUCAGGAAGCAGGCGGAUAACUGUUUUCAGGAUAAGGGCCAAAACAACAGACAGAUAAACAAAGGGUGGGAAGGAAAAUAGAGAUGUGAAGUGGCUUGAGUGAUCUUUUACCAUAUUCUUUUUAUGUACAUGAUAGUCAGGGUUGGAUCCGGGGGGAAUACAGUGAUGCAGUUGGUCCCCCAACUUUAUUUCCUGGUUCACCCAGAGUUUAAAACCAACUGCCUGGGCCUGCAACAGCAUUUCUAUUCAGGCAGCAGUGAGAGAAUCAGUUGACUUCAUGGAUGAUUGUAAACUACCUGCUUCCUUCUAAACUAUUCAGUACACAGGUGUUAAUGCCCCUAUCCCCUUUUUAAUGGUAUUGAUGUUCUAAUCAAGCUGUCCUUUCUUUUGCAGUUCUGUUAUUUGUUAGUUGCUCCUGGUAAUCUAGCUCCUAUUUCACCACCCUGCAGACUGCUUUUAACUAUAGCUAAAAACAUUAACUUAGAUGUAGAACUGUUAACUCACAUGAACAUUAACUUGGGUGCAGAAAUAGCUUUCAGUGCAAUCCUGGAUGCACUGUCAAGCUGCUCAAGAAGACUAAGUUUUGUUUUAUGAAUCUGAAAGAGAUGAACAUUUGAUUCUAAAGACUACAAGACUAAUGAAACAACAGCUUUAACUUAUUUUUGCCUCGUUGUAUUUUUUAUUCACAGUACAUGAUAUAACAAAUGAAUGCUUUGAUCUUAAACUGAAUAAUAUAGCCCUAGCCCCUUGGCAUAUUAGCAAAGCCUCCAGUUUCUUCUUAGUUUCUGGAGAAAAAUGUGUUGUGUUAUAUUUGAUUAUGCAUUACACCAUCUCCACUCCUCUUUUCAAAAUCCUAAAUUCACCCAUGAAGAUAAUGACAUCAUUUAAGGUAAUACAUUACUACUUUCCCAGUAUAUUUCUGUAAUGGGUUUUGCUGUGUAAAGGUGGAACAUCCUAGAGCUGAGGUAGAAGGAGUUUAAUUCCAGGUUUCAGAACCAUUUCAAGGAGGCAGUCCCAUGUGGGAACUAAUUUGGUACUGAUGAGAUUAUUCAGUAAGAGCAGUUUCAAGGUGUUUGGGGAGCAAUGGAGUUUCCUAGUUUGCUUUGUAUGGCUUGUUGGUUUGGGACUCCUGCUUGGGGUGCUACAUGAGAGCUUUGGGAUAUGUAUUGUAUUGUAUUAAUUUGGAUUAAAGCAAGUCUCAUUAAAUCAAACCCUAUACAGAGAUGGUAAUUUGUUCUCAAACAUAAGAGCCAGUUGUAAAUGCAUGUCAAUUAUUAAUAGCGGUUAUAGUGCAGUCAUAGUAUGUCAAUAAUUAAUUAGAGUUAUAAUUCUGUUGUAAUAGUUCGUAUUCGUCUUCUAUAGGUUUUCUGUAUGAAGGUAGUCUGUAUUAUGCACCCAUUCAGCUGAAGAAUCCCUGGGAUGUCCUCCUUCGCAGGGGACCUUACGCCCAUAAUCUCACCUACCAUGACUUGAUAAUAAGAAAAGGGAUGUCUAGGAGGGAGGUUUUUCUGCGAGGAUGAUCCUAGGAUUUACCUUAGUACAAUGAGGGCUCCACCUUCCCCUAUACCCUCUCCCAUUCCACCGGGUAGGUAACAUGAAUAAUUGAUUGUUCACGGGGUUUCACCCCAAUAGAUUCUUGUUUUCUACUUGAAACAAAACAGGCGUGAUUCUUGUUAACCUCUUCAUAAGAACUCCGUUCUGACCUUUGACGUAAUGUCCCUGGGCUACACAGCCUGAUAGCCACUACUCAGGCAACAAAGUGUUAUCACAGUUCUGCUCUCUGCAGCAAGUUGCCCUCACCAGGUUCAGUCAAAAGAAGGAAGAAACUAAAGAGGCAAUUCUUGGUUUACCAUUGUUGUUUAAAUCAGAGCUUCAACCAUGCUCUUUGAUUUAUUCCCUGCCGGCUGAGCUGCCGAAGCUCAGGAUCAGGGCUCCUGCAUUGCAACCUUCACAGUGAUGUCCUGAUCAGCUGCAACCUUGCAGCCUGCCUUAGGACUGCUGGAGCUUGCCUUUUCCCCUUCCCUGCUCAGUGAAUUCUCCUCUCUCUGCUCCAGGGUGGACACUUCUGGUUCUGUUUUUUCCUCCCAGUGUCCUGGAGUCCCAGUCCUUUUCUUUUCCCCGGUCUGCUCCAAGUUCCUCUUUAGCCUGGUUCUUGGGCUCCUCUCCCCACUCCGACAGAAGCACCAGGGGAAAAAAAGACUCUUUUCGAGCAGUUUGGCUAUGUUGAUGGUGCCACUGCAGGUAAGCACAUGCUACACCUUGAUCCUCCUUUCCCUUCCCUGGGUGUUUCUUUCCUACCUCACAAUGCAUCAUUUGGUUUGCUGACUCUGUCCCUGAAAUGGAUUCUAAUAGCUGGUGGAUUCUUAUAUCUAACAAGGCAGUGUAAGAGUUAGCCAUGAGCUACGGACUGCACUAUAACAGUGAUGUAAUUAUAGUACGUUGUGUAAAUUUAUAUAUAAAAAUGUCAGUAUGGCACAUCUUAAAGCACAGAAGCAUUGGGGAAAAUAACUUUGAUAAAAUGGAGCUUAUUAGUUCUCAGGGUUUCCCACAUCAAAUCUUCUCAGUGGAAAUUAAAGAGAUAGUAUUUCAGACUUUAAGUGCUGCGUGUUUGAAGAUCAAGCUGUGUUCUCUCUGAUCUCUCCCAUGUAAUACAGAUUUUGCAAUCAGGAUGCCAAGUCUAAUUUUGCUAAUGAUGCAUGAAACAGCACAACAUAGAAAAUAUAUGAGAACAUAUUCAAUUGGUUUUGUAAGUAAAGUAAGUGGAUAAGAUGCUAUGACAGAGCACAAGAUGUUGGUGCCUGCCACUUUAAGGUCUGAGCCAAGCAGCCAGAAGGUGCUUGAUUGCAAUGGCCAUUUUAGACUUCUGGCUGCCUAUAUAAAGAGAGCAGUUCACUGCUGGCAGACAAGGCAGAACCAUUGCCUGGCU